CCUACUCCUAAAAUCCCCUCAAUUCUCUUUACCGGCCCGUUAUCCUCGCCGGCAUCGCCGUCCUCCUCCGUGAACCAUCACUGAUCCGCCGUACCCGACGGCGUUUACAUUUUUUCAAAAUGACGAAAUUACCCCUCCCCUUCCUCCUCCUCCUCCUCCUCUGUCUUGUCUCGUUCACCACCGGCGAGAUAAAAAAGCUGAAAAUCUCCUCCGAUCCACGGGCAAUGAUACUCUUCGAGCGGUUCGGGUUUACUCAUACGGGUCAAGCUGCCAUUAGCGUCUCUUCCGUCUCUGUUAUCUCUACCUUAGCUACGCCGGACCCUUCACGGCUUGGGUUUUUUCUCUUAUCGGAAGAAGCGCUUAUUCAAGUUCUUCUUGAACUUCAACAAAACCCUACAUUUUGUGUUCUAGAUUCCAAAUUCAUCAAUUUGUUGUUUACUUUCCGUGAUCUUUCUCCACCCCCAAAUUCUUCGUUUAACCGAUCUUACCCUGUUACUUCUCCUAAUGAAUACUCUCUCUUCUUUGCGAAUUGUGCUCCUGAAUCGAAAGUAUCCAUGGAUGUUCGUACGGAACUGUAUAAUCUAGAUAAUCAAGUGAAGGAUUAUCUUUCUGCUGGUCUUACUCAGCUUCCCACGUUGUAUUUUCUGUUUUCCUUUGUGUAUAUCGGGUUUUUGGGGUUGUGGUUGUCUGUAUGUAUUCGUAAUAAGAAAUCUGUUCAUCGGAUUCAUAUGCUUAUGGCUGCUUUAGUUGUAAUGAAGGCGUUGAAUUUGAUUUUCGCGGCGGAGGAUAAGCAUUAUGUUAAGGUUACUGGUACUGCUCAUGGUUGGGAUGUGUUGUUUUACAUUUUUCAGUCGCUUCGUGUUGUUUUGCUUUUUACUGUGAUUGUUUUGAUUGGUACUGGCUGGUCGUUUUUGAAGCCAUUUUUGCAAGAGAGGGAGAAGAAAGUGUUGAUGAUUGUGAUCCCGCUUCAGGUUUUGGCUAAUGUGGCAUCGAUAGUGAUUGGUGAAACGGGUCCGUUUAUUAGGGAUUGGGUGACUUGGAAUCAGGUGUUUUUGAUUGUUGAUAUUAUCUGUUGUUGUGCUAUUAUCUUCCCUAUUGUUUGGUCGAUUAGGUCCUUGAGGGAGACAUCGAAGACUGAUGGGAAGGCUGCAAGGAAUUUGUCAAAAUUGACUUUGUUUAGGCAGUUUUAUAUUGUGGUGAUCGGAUACUUGUACUUCACAAGGAUUGUUGUGUUCGCAUUGAGGACAAUUGCUGCAUAUAAGUACCAAUGGGUGGCAAAUGCUGCGGAGGAGAUAGCCAGUUUAGCAUUCUACAUGGUGAUGUUUUACAUGUUUAGGCCAGAGGAGAAGAAUGAGUACUUUGUUCUCGACGAGGAGGAAGAAGAGGCUGCAGAAAUGGCUCUUCGAGAUGAGGAGUUUGAGCUGUGAAGUCGAGUUCUAGUGGAAGGUGUCCUGUCAUUUAUGCAGUUUGCAGCCUAAACACUGUGAGUUCACUGAAGUGAUAGUUAGGUUUGCUGGGAUUAAUUAUCAUUUACUGUUCUUUUACUUUUUCAUUUUUACUAAACAAUAUCUUGGUCUGUAGUAAUAGUACUGUAAUCAUGGAACAACGGUUUGCAUUUUUGGAUAUUGAUAGUUCUUUCAUUGGAA
rnacentral:misc_RNA from 1 species